GGGUUGUGAGGUUAAGCGACUAAGCGUACACGGUGGAUGCCCUGGCAGUCAGAGGCGAUGAAGGGCGUGCUAAUCUGCGAUAAGCGCCGGUAAGGUGAUAUGAACCGUUAUAACCGGCGAUACCCGAAUGGGGAAACCCAGUGUGAUUCGUCACACUAUCAUUAACUGAAUCCAUAGGUUAAUGAGGCGAACCGGGGGAACUGAAACAUCUAAGUACCCCGAGGAAAAGAAAUCAACCGAGAUUCCCCCAGUAGCGGCGAGCGAACGGGGAGGAGCCCAGAGCCUGAAUCAGCAUGUGUGUUAGUGGAAGCGUCUGGAAAGGCGCGCGAUACAGGGUGACAGCCCCGUACACAAAAGCGUAUGUGCUGUGAGCUCGAUGAGUAGGGCGGGACACGUGGUAUCCUGUCUGAAUAUGGGGGGACCAUCCUCCAAGGCUAAAUACUCCUGACUGACCGAUAGUGAACCAGUACCGUGAGGGAAAGGCGAAAAGAACCCCGGCGAGGGGAGUGAAAAAGAACCUGAAACCGUGUACGUACAAGCAGUGGGAGCACCCUUUGGGGUGUGACUGCGUACCUUUUGUAUAAUGGGUCAGCGACUUAUAUUCUGUAGCAAGGUUAACCGAAUAGGGGAGCCGGAGGGAAACCGAGUCUUAAUUGGGCGUUAAGUUGCAGGGUAUAGACCCGAAACCCGGUGAUCUAGCCAUGGGCAGGUUGAAGGUUGGGUAACACU
rnacentral:rRNA from 1 species